AUCCGUAAUCAGCAAAGCAGAUGGGGACACAGGAGGGGACAUGGGGACACGGGAGGGAAUGUGGGGACACUGUGGGGGAUGUGGGGACAUGGGAACGGAUCUGGGGACGCAGGAGGGGAUGUAAGAACAUGGGAGGGGACAUGGGGACGUGGGAUAGGGACAGAGGGACAUGGGAGGGGAUGUGGGGACACUGAGAGGGAUGUGGGGACACAGGAUGGGGACAUGGGACACAGGAUAGGGACAUGGGGGACAUGGGGACCCAAGGGGAUGGGGACACGCAUUUGCGGACAAAGUGACUCAGCCAGGAUUGCAGCAGUGACAAGUUGAUGCCAGUGGUCCCCAGCAAAGCCACUUGUCCCCAAAAAAGCCAACGUCCCCUACUGUGGUCUCUGCGACAGUAGCCCCGGGAGGGCGGCAGUGGCCUCCACCGUGUCUGGUGGCCUCGAUGUCCUCGAGGCAGUGCCGCAGGUGACGGUAGAAGAGGGUGGCCCUGUGGCAGGCGGCCACCAAGCGUUCCAGGGGCUCGUGGGCCACCCCCACCAGCCGUCCCCACUCCUUGACAUUCCUCGCACGCAGCGCUGCAUCCACGGUGGCCUCAGUGGCCUUGGUGGCCGCCUGCAGCUCCGUGCUGGCCUCAGCCACUUGUGUCUCGUAGGUUUUCACUGCCUCAUCCAUCAUGUCCUGCUUCAAGGCCAUGGGCAGGUCCUGGGUGGCCUCAAGCAGAUUCUGGUAUGCGCUGUUCUCACGGGCCAGCGCCUCUGCCAGGUUGCCCUUGCUGACCCCUGUGGUAGCCUCUGUGGUAGCCACGGCUCCACAGGCAUCCUGCAAGUGCGUGACCUUCUCCUCUAUCGUGGCCCAGGCGGCCUCUACCGAUGCCACCGACUCCCGCCACUUAGGGAUGAUGGCGCCCACGGUGGCCCAGUUGUCACCCGCGGUGGCCAGUGCAUCAUACUGGAGGUAGGUGGCCUCUCCCUGGCGGUGCUCCAUGGCCCGGGAGAUAUCGAAAAUGAGGUCAACCAGCCCAGCCGCAGCGAGCCCGGGGGCUUGGGCAGGGGGACAUCCCCCAGCGUGGCCCCCAGCUCGCCCAGGGUGGCCACCACGGUCACCAACGGCUCCAGCAGCUUUGCCCGUCCCCGCCAUUGUCCCUAUGGUCCCCCUGGGGUGUCCCCCCCAUUCCUGGUGACCCCACGUCCCUCCCCACCCCCUGUCCCUGCUCUUGCUGCCCUGUCACCGCUGUCCCCUGCCAAGCCCUGUCCCCCCCGACACCUCCAUCGCCUCUGUCACCCUUCUGUUCCCACUGUC
rnacentral:lncRNA from 1 species